UACGUAGGGGGCUAGCGUUGUCCGGAAUCAUUGGGCGUAAAGCGCGUGUAGGCGGUUCGGUAAGUCCGCUGUGAAAGUCGGGGGCUCAACCCUCGAAAGCCGGUGGAUACUGUCGGGCUAGAGUACGGAAGAGGCGAGUGGAGUUCCUGGUGUAGCGGUGAAAUGCGCAGAUAUCAGGAGGAACACCAAUUGCGAAGGCAGCUCGCUGGGACGUUACUGACGCUGAGACGCGAAAGCGUGGGGAGCAAACAGG
rnacentral:rRNA from 1 species